rnacentral:rRNA from 1 species
ACUGCUCAGUAACACGUGGAUAACAUGCCCUAAGGUGGGGGAUAAUCUCGGGAAACUGAGGAUAAUACCCCAUAGGUCUGAUAUGCUGGAAUGCUUUUAGGCCGAAAACUCCGGUGCCUUAGGAUUGGUCUGCGGUCUAUCAGGCUGUAGUGGGUGUAACGGACCCACUAGCCCGUGACGGAUAUGGGCCUUGAGAGAGGGAGCCCAGAGAUGGACUCUGAGACAUGAGUCCAGGCCCUACGGGGCGCAGCAGUCGCGAAAACUUCGCAAUGGGGGCAACCCCGACGAGGGAAUUCCAAGUGCCAGCACUUUGUGUUGGCUGUUCUUCUGUCUAAAAAACAGGAGAAGUAAGGGGCGGGUAAGACGGGUGCCAGCCGCCGCGGUAAUACCCGCGCCCCGAGUGGUGGUCGAUAUUAUUGAGCCUAAAACGUCCGUAGCCGGUCUUCUAAAUCCUUGGGUAAAUCGGGCAGCUCAACUGUCCGAAUUCCGGGGAGACUGGGAGACUUGGGACCGGGAGAGGUCAGAGGUACUUCUGGGGUAGGGGUAAAAUCCUGUAAUCCUGGAAGGACCACCGGUGGCGAAGGCGUCUGACUAGAACGGAUCCGACGGUGAGGGACGAAGCCCUGGGGCGCAAACGGGAUUAGAUACCCCGGUAGUCCAGGGUGUAAACGCUGCGGGCUUGGUGUUGGGGGUCCUUAGUGGGCGCCCAGUGCCGGAGAGAAGUUGUUAAGCCUGCUGCUUGGGGAGUAUGUCCGCAAGGAUGAAACUUAAAGGAAUUGGCGGGGGAGCAC